GGCAGGGUUGCAGGCAGGAGACAGUCUCCAGAGGCCCAGCAUAGAAAAGCGAUGGAGGGGUGAGGGGGGACAGGACGCUGGCGAAUUGGGGUUCCCAGAGUGAGAGACAGGAACAUUUACAGGUGGACAGAGUAAAAGGCCCUGAAAAGGGGGUGGGUUGGUGCAUUUGUGGCCUUGGGCCCAAGCAGGCUUCUCUGGGUGAGGGCUAGCAGCACCUCCCCUCUUCUCCAGCUCACCCCUUUCACACACACACACGCCCCCCAUUUUGUCACCCUGUCAAGGGAAUAAACCCCAGAGAGGAAGAAAUUAUGUCUAGGAGGAAACGGUGAGCCUGGAUGGGUUUUUUAGGGGGGAGGCUGGCAGGGGCAUGGAGCCAGGAAACAGCCUUCGCCCCCCAGAGCACCAGGUACCCUGAGAAAAGUGAGAAGAGAGAUUGCAGCCCAGGUCCCUGCAGAGGAGGAUGGGCUCCUUUCCCAGGAAGGACUGGCUGAGUGGACUGUCUCCAGGGCACAGGACAACGUUGAGGGCCUGAGGCCUCCACCUUCUUGAAGAAGGACCAUGUGAAUUUCCUGACAGAGAACGGGGAUGGGUUUCUGAAAGCACCACCCAGCUGAGCCUGCCGAAACUGCACAGCUGUUUCCAGGCCAGGCUGGCUGCAUGGAGGACGUGAGAGGAACAGCCAGCUGUGUGUGCUGGGCCCACUGAUCAGGGUGCUCAGGACCAGGAGCCUUCUGAGGAUGUGCAGAGGGGACUCUGGGGAGAGGAACAUGGUGGCCACAGCUGGAGUGACCGCAGUGUACAGAGAUGGGAUGGGAGCAGGAAACCCAAAAGAGCCGGCCCUGGAACCAGGUGGAGGGGAGGCAGCCCGGCCAUGACCCAGAGCAGGUGAUAUGAUUUGGAUCUGUGUUCCCACCCAAAUUUUAGGUUCAGUUUUAAUCCUCAGUGUUGGAGGUGGGUCCUGGUGGGAGGUGAUCAGAUCAUGGGAGUGGAUUCUAAUGGUUUAGCACCAUUCCCUCGGUGAUGUCCUCAUGAUGGUGAGCUAUCAUGAGAUCUGGUUGUUUGAAAGCGUGUUGCACCUCCCCUGACUCCCUCUCUUGGUCCCGCCCCUGCCAUGUAGGACACCUGCUCCACUUCACCUUUUGCCAUGAGUAAAAGCUCCCUGAGGCCUCCCAAGAAGUUGAUGCCCUGUGCUUCCUGUACAGCUGCGGAACCGGAUGGCUUUCCGUGGCUUUGCUACAGCCACUCCUGGAAGUGCUGCCUGACUGAAUCCUCAGGGCACCCCGGCAGGAUGGACGUGGUGUACCCCCUACUUUACAGAUGGGGAAACUGAGGCUUGAGAGCUAAAGCAGCCCACCCAGCUCCCAGAGAUGAGGAGGCCGACUCUGGCAGGAGUCACUGUCGGUGCAUGGGCAUUUCUUCCUGUUACAGCCUGCGGCCCCUUCCAGGCCGGGAGGCCUUCUGCGCAGGUGCCCUGACGUGAUGGUAUGACCCAUUCUGGGAGGCCGAGAGCACCUCAAAGAACUCAGCAGGAAGCACAGUUUCAAUUCAGAAGUUCUGGAAGGCGAGGCAGGACAGGGCACCCUCCCUGCAUGGCCCGAUGACCUGCACUCCUGUUUCAUCUCCCCGUGUGGCACCUGGGGCAGCUUGGAGCCUACCAAGGUCUCAACAAGGAACCAGUAAAUACCAAAAAAAGGACAUCACGUCCCCUACAGCUAACUGCAAAUGGUGACCAUCCCAGCCCUUGUUUGAUAACACAAGCAAAGCAAUGGCUUCUUCAAGGACACCGAGAGGAACCUCACCUCUUUCUAAAACCUCCAACACAGGGCCAGGCGCGGUGGCUCAUGCGUGUAAUCCCAGCACUUUGGGAGGCCGAGGCAGGUGGAUCACGAGGUCAGGAGAUCGAGACCAUCCUGGCUAACACGGUGAAACCCCGUCUCUACUAAAAAUAAAAAAAAUUAGCCGGGCGUGGUGGUGUGCGCCUGUAGUCCCAGCUGCUCGGGGAGGCUGAGGUAGGAGAAUAGCGUGAACCCAGAAGGUGGAGGUAGCAGUGAGCCGAGAUCACUCCACUGCACUCCAGCCUGGGCAACAGAGCAAGACUCCAUCUCAAAAAACAAACAAACCUCCAACACCACCUGGAAGGGCCUGGAGGCACUCACUGAUGAGCCUGGAAUUUCUCACAGGGGACAGAGAGGUGGCCAAGGCUCCUGCACAUUUCCCCAUCUGUCUGACACCCCUUUCCAGAACCAGAAAGCGUGCUGAGCUCGGCCUCUGUCACGCAGGGUUCCAGGUAUUUCUGGGGCUCAGCAGGGAGAAGGCCAGGACGUGCUCCCUGACUCUCGGCAGGGCGGGAGAAGAAUGAAUCCUCUGAGGUCCCCAGCUUGGGGAAAAGGGGGUGGGAGAGUGGCGGGCAGAGACCUCCUCCGUAUCCCCCUCUCCUGAAGCCCUGCCGCUGUGGCAGCCCUACAGGGACUACAGGGCUCCAGCCCUACAGGGACUCUGCGGUGGGGCGGGUGUGCAGGCUCACAGGCUCUGGAAAUGCCCCAGGAUGCCUUGGCAGUGUCUCCCACAGACCCAGGAGCGCCACUAGAAACAGGACCCUUCCUCAGUCAUCCUGCAUGGGGGCUCCUGUUGCUUUGGGGGCUGCUUUCCAGCAGCUGCGUCAGACAACGACCCACCUCAUCCCCCCAGCCAGGACCUGAACAGGCACUGACGUCAGAUACGUAGACCUUGUUGCUGAACUUGUCAAAAACUUCAAUGGUGAUUUCAUACAGGCGGCCGGUCUCCAGCACCCACCUAUCACCAGGGUGAAUGGUGAACCCUAAAACAGGCAGGGGGAGCCUGAGCACUCAGGCCUCAGGGGCAGCAGGGUGGAGGAGGAUGGGACCACCACCCUCAGCACAGGGGCCCUCAGCAUCCACAUGGGAAGCCCCACUCCACCCACCUGUAGGCCCCACACCACCCACCUGCAGGCCCCACACCACUUACCUGGAGGCCCCACACCACCCACCUAGGGGCCCCACAAUUAUGGCGCUGGCCUCCUCCACAGAGAGGGACCUGUUGCUGAGGAACAGAUGCCUGAUGCCGCCUUCAGCCCUGAGUCCUGAGCUGACCUCCCGAGGACCAAACCUGGACUCAUCCCAUUCUAUCUGAACAAGGCUCCUUCAAACUUGUUCCUGUUCCUCAGUGGGUCUACACUCAGAAUCCUAGCAGCUCUGUCCUUAACACACAGCAGGUCUAUGCUCUGAAGUGAUAAUAGAUCUAUAGUGUUCACAGUAGAACUAGUCUGAACCUUCAGGGGGUCUGUGCUCUGAGGAGGGAUGGACAUAGACUCCAAGAAAGUGAUGAUUCUGGAAAAGGAACGCGUUGUUAAAGUUUGUUGAUCAAACCCAGACACAAGGUCUGUCAGAAUCUACCACAGCAUUCCCUAUCAGCCCCUCCCACUGGGGCCAACACUGAAGAAAUAAGGGGUGUCCCGUUAGUCAGGGCUGGGGCUACCUAGAGACAUGUCCCUGCAGCUUCCUACAUCAGAUCUGCCCAUGUCCUUGUGAAAAAUGCAGAUGCUUGGCCCCUGGCCCAGGCUGUGUCUGCAAGAAGCCUGGGAAACUCCAUUUUAUCCACCU
rnacentral:lncRNA from 1 species